GAGAGAAAGGUAUGAGCAGUAGGGAGAGAGAAGGAGAGGGAGAGAGAAAGGUAUGAGCAGUAGGGAGAGAGAAGGAGAGGGAGAGAGAAAGGUAUGAGCAGUAGGGAGAGAGAAGGAGAGGGAGAGAGAAAGGUAUGAGCAGUAGGGAGAGAGAAGGAGAGGGAGAGAGAAAGGUAUGAGCAGUAGGGAGAGAGAAGGAGAGGGAGAGAGAAAGGUAUGAGCAGUAGGGAGAGAGAAGGAGAGGGAGAGAGAAAGGUAUGAGCAGUAGGGAGAGAGAAGGAGAGGGAGAGAGAAAGGUAUGAGCAGUAGGGAGAGAGAAGGAGAGGGAGAGAGAAAGGUAUGAGCAGUAGGGAGAGAGAAGGAGAGGGAGAGAGAAAGGUAUGAGCAGUAGGGAGAGAGAAGGAGAGGGAGAGAGAAAGGUAUGAGCAGUAGGGAGAGAGAAGGAGAGGGAGAGAGAAAGGUAUGAGCAGU